rnacentral:rRNA from 1 species
CCUACGGGUGGCAGCAGUCGAGAAUCAUUCACAAUGGGGGAAACCCUGAUGGUGCGACGCCGCGUGGGGGAAUGAAGGUCUUCGGAUUGUAAACCCCUGUCAUGUGGGAGCAAAUUAAAAAGAUAGUACCACAAGAGGAAGAGAUGGCUAACUCUGUGCCAGCAGCCGCGGUAAUACAGAGGUCUCAAGCGUUGUUCGGAAUCACUGGGCGUAAAGCGUGCGUAGGCUGUUUCGUAAGUCGUGUGUGAAAGGCGCGGGCUCAACCCGCGGACGGCACAUGAUACUGCGGGACUAGAGUGAUGGAGGGGGAACCGGAAUUCUCGGUGUAGCAGUGAAAUGCGUAGAUAUCGAGAGGAACACUCGUGGCGAAGGCGGGUUCCUGGACAUUAACUGACGCUGAGGCACGAAGGCCAGGGGAGCGAAAGGGAUUAGAUACCCUAGUAGUC